CUCCUGGAUCGUCUCCCCUCCUGGUUCCCGGCACCAGUGUCCGGGAGUGCUGCCCAAAAACACGACACCCACAUAAAGGAAGGCGAAGAAGAUUCCGGUGAUGCAUGACAACAUGCAGAGCCUUUUCUGGAAAAGAAGAAAGAAAAAAACUUUACGGACUCCCAAGCACACAUGCGCAGCCAUGCUAAGUUUAUUCGUGCUCUGGCGGGAGUUUGGAGAGCGCACUUCAGCCGAGGGGCACAAAGGACACCCAGAUGCAAAUGCAAGAUACAGGAAUCGGACAAAGACGGCGGCUCUUUCUCUUCCCGUUACCCUUUAACAUGUCUUACAGGCCAAUUACGGUGUGAAAGCAUCAAUUCUAUGUACACUGUUUCGGGCAGAUAGUUGACAAAUUCUUGCAAGCAAAUUAGACACGGAGGCCAAAGACUGUUUAGCUGCUCAUAAACAAGAUUGUCUCCUCUGAGCCUGGUCCCGCCAAUUAAAUAUGAUUACAUCUGCAUGUUUGCCUUUUCUUAAGAGUAAUUCAAACGGCAGGUCCUUCCUUUUAUAGUAUGUAAAGUCAUUGCACUGUAUGAAAGUUUAUUAUCAAGUUUGGUAAGUUUCGCAAUAGUGCUUAAAAAAUUGUGUUACGUCCAAGCCAAUGUCUUCUUUUUUCAAAGAUGUUAUCACAUAGCAACGUUAUGUCUGUCCAUCCAUUUUCCAGCCACUUUUUUUGGUCAAGGUCAUAGGGCAGGGAGAGUAUCCCUGGCAGCAGAGAGCAGAAGGUAUUGGAACAUCCUGAACAGGACACCAGUCCAUUGCAGGGCACGCACAAGCACUGUGAUCAAUUUAGAGAUGUCAGUUAAAGUGUCUUUGAACCAUGGCAGUGAUAAAGUAAUAUAAAUGGUGUAAGACAAUCAGCUGUUUUGUGUUAUACAAAUAUGGUUACAUGUUUUUUUUUUUUCUAUUAUUACUUAAGAAUUUUAAAAGUUCAUUUUACACCACUAGAUGUCAUUCUUACACAUCUAGCUGUGGAUUAUAUAAAGAUCCAUUAAUCCGUCCAUCUUCUACCCUCUUAUCCUUGUCAGGGUCUCUGGGGAGCCUGUAGCAUAUGCUAGGUAGCAUGUGGCCCAAGGAGGACACACACCCUGGACCGGAUAGGCUUAUAAAUAAAUUUUGUAACAAUAUACAAUAUAAACAAAGCAUAAUGAAUAAAUAUUUCAAACGCUACAGUAAUGUAACUAACAUACU